UACGAAGGGGGCUAGCGUUGCUCGGAAUCACUGGGCGUAAAGCGCACGUAGGCGGCUUUCUAAGUCAGGGGUGAAAUCCUGGAGCUCAACUCCAGAACUGCCUUUGAUACUGGAGAGCUCGAGUCCGGAAGAGGUGAGUGGAACUGCGGAUGUAGAGGUGGAAAUUCGUAGAUAUUCGCAAGAACACCAGUGGCGAAGGCGGCUCACUGGUCCGGUACUGACGCUGAGGUGCGAAAGCGUGGGGAGCAAAGCAGG
rnacentral:rRNA from 1 species